GAUGAAGAACGUAGCGAAAUGCGAUAAGUAGUGUGAAUUGCAGAAUUCAGUGAAUCAUCGAAUCUUUGAACGCACAUUGCGCCCGCCAGUAUUCUGGCGGGCAUGCCUGUUCGAGCGUCAUUUCAACCAUCAAGCCCCCGGCUUGUGUUGGGGACCUGCGGCUGCCGCAGGCCCUGAAAACCAGUGGCGGGCUCGCUGUCACACCGAGCGUAGUAGAUUUUCAUCUCGCUCAGGGCGUGCUGCGGGUUCCGGCCGUAAAAAGCCUUAUUUACCCAAGGUUGACCUCGUAUCAGGUAGGAAGACCCGCUGAACUUAAGCAUAUCAAUAAGCGGAGGA
rnacentral:misc_RNA from 1 species